rnacentral:rRNA from 1 species
CCGCUUACCCGCAGUGGGACGAAAAGACCCUGUGCACCUUUACUAUAGCUUAGUAUUGACCUUGGAUAAAUGAUGUGUAGGAUAGGUUGGAGACUGUGAAGUGGCGUCGCUAGGCGUUGUGGAGUCAUUGUUGAAAUACAACCCUUUGUUUAUCUGAGGCCUAACCCCGCUGAUGCGGGGGACAUUGCUUGGUGGGUAGUUUGACUGGGGUGGUCGCCUCCAAAAGAGUAACGGAGGCUUCUAAAGGUUCCCUCAGUACGCUUGGUAACCGUGCGUAGAGUGCAAUGGCAUAAGGGAGCUUGACUGAGAGACAUACAGGUCGAUCAGGUACGAAAGUAGAGC